rnacentral:rRNA from 1 species
GAUGAACGCUGGCGGCGUGCCUAAUACAUGCAAGUCGAGCGAACAGACGAGGAGCUUGCUCCUCUGACGUUAGCGGCGGACGGGUGAGUAACACGUGGAUAACCUACCUAUAAGACUGGGAUAACUUCGGGAAACCGGAGCUAAUACCGGAUAAUAUAUUGAACCGCAUGGUUCAAUAGUGAAAGACGGUUUUGCUGUCACUUAUAGAUGGAUCCGCGCCGCAUUAGCUAGUUGGUAAGGUCACGGCUUACCAAGGCAACGCUGCGUAGCCGACCUGAGAGGGGGAUCGGCCAACGUGGAACGGAGACAGGGUCCAGAAUCCUACGGGAGGCAGCAGUAGGGAAUCUGCCGCAAUGGGCGAAAGCCUGACGGAGCAACGGCGCGUGAGUGAUGAAGGUCUUCGGAUCGUAAAACUCUGUUAUUAGGGAAGAACAAAUGUGUAAGUAACUAUGCACGUAUUGACGGUACCUAAUCAGAAAGCCACGGCUAACUACGUG